CUACGUGCCAGCAGCCGCGGUAAUACGGAAGGUCCAGGCGUUAUCCGGAUUUAUUGGGUUUAAAGGGAGCGUAGGCCGGAGAUUAAGUGUGUUGUGAAAUGUAGACGCUCAACGUCUGACUUGCAGCGCAUACUGGUUUCCUUGAGUACGCACACCGUUGGCGGAAUUCGUCGUGUAGCGGUGAAAUGCUUAGAUAUGACGAAGAACUCCGAUUGCGAAGGCAGCUGACGGGAGCGCAACUGACGCUUAAGCUCGAAGGUGCGGGUAUCAAACAGGAUUAGAUACCCUGGUAGUCCGCACAGUAAACGAUGGAUGCCCGCUGUUGGUACCUGGUAUCAGCGGCUAAGCGAAAGCAUUAAGCAUCCCACCUGGGGAGUACGCCGGCAACGGUGAAACUCAAAGGAAUUGACGGGGGCCCGCACAAGCGGAGGAACAUGUGGUUUAAUUCGAUGAUACGCGAGGAACCUUACCCGGGCUUGAAUUGCAGAGGAAGUAUUUAGAGAUA
rnacentral:rRNA from 1 species